AUGGCGUCGUUCACAAAUCUCACACUACCACUUGUCUUGCUCGCCAUCCUCUUUCCAACAAUCGCACUAUGCUAUAUCAAUCCAGCCGCGACAAGCGUACACCAAAAUACCAGAAAACCCUCUGCUUAUCGUUCUUACAUCGUGCUCGUCGAGCCACUGCGUUCGGAUGCCAGUGAAGAAGCCCAUCGCCAGUGGCACAAGUCUUUCUUGCCGAGUGAGUCCAAUGAGUCACGCCUUCUCCAUUCCUACACCGAGGUUUUCAGUGGCUUCGCCGCGAGGCUCACCGACGUGGAGCUCGACAUGGUGGCCAAGACGCCAGGGUUCGUGCGUGCAUUCCCCGACCGGACGCUCGAGCUAAUGACCACCCACACGCCGGAGUUCCUUGGGCUAAGGAAUGGCACCGGGUUCUGGAGCCAGGCUGGGUACGGGAAGGGAGUCAUCAUCGGACUGCUCGACAGUGGCAUCUAUGCGGCACACCCUUCCUUCAAUGACCAUGGAGUUCCGUCACCCCCAACAAGGUGGAAGGGCUCGUGCAAGGCGGCCCGGUGCAACAACAAGCUCAUCGGUUCCAAGUCACUCAUUGCGGGUGAUGACUGUGAUGACAGAGAGGGGCAUGGUACGCACACAUCAUCCAUCGCCGCCGGGAACUUUGUAGCCGGUGCAUCAUACCAUGGAAUGGGCAUGGGCACCGCGGCCGGAAUUGCUCCGGGCGCUCACAUCGCCAUGUACAAGGUAUGUACUACUGGUAGCUACAAGCAAUCUACCGUACUGGCCGGUCUAGAAGAGGCCAUCAAGGAUGGGGUGGACGUGCUCUCGCUCUCAAUUGGCACCGAGUUCAGCGUUAGCUUCGACCAUGACCCCAUCGCCAUCGGCGCGUUCAGUGCCAUGUCCAAGGGCAUCCUGGUGGUGUGUGCCGCCGGCAACAAUGGUCCGCAUGAGCACCUGGGAUACCUCACCAACGAAGCGCCGUGGUUGCUCAUGGUCGCCGCCGGCUCCAUUGACCGGAGCUUCAGCGCCAGCAUACGUCUCGGCAGCGGCAAGAGCAUCGAUGGAGAAGCACUUACCCAGAAAGGGAGUCCAAGCUCCAAGCUGUACCCUCUCCUCUACUCUGAGGAACAAGAGUACUGCUUUUACUCUGAGGGUGACAGUAGUCUGGUUUGCAAGGACCAUAUGUCCAAUCUUCAACAGUCCAAAAUCCGCAACAUAAUGAGCUCCGGCGCAGUAGGCGUGGUCUUGUUCAAUUGGCCAACGUGCGGCUACACCACCAUUCUUAAGGAUACCAACUCCAGUAUUGUACAGGUGACUGCGGCCGACGGCGAAGCCCUCUUAGCUUACAUCGCGUCGACGUCGACGGAGAGGGAGAGCAGCCCCAUGGCGUCUCUCACAUAUAAUGGCACACAAUUUGGCGUCCGCCCAGCCCCUGUUGUGGCCUGGUUCUCUUCCCGCGGUCCAAGCAUCCUAAAGUCGGACAUACUGGCGCCGGGCCUCAACAUCCUCGCUGCCUGGCCGCCAAGCACUGGAUCUGGACAUCAGGGCCCUUUCAACGUCAUGUCGGGCACAUCCAUGGCAACGCCGCACGUGAGUGGUGUCGCGGCUCUCGUCAAAGCCAUCCAUCCUGAUUGGUCACCCGCGGCCAUCAAGUCUGCCAUCCUAACCACGUCGGACAUGGUCAACAGCACCGGCGGCUCAAUCUUGGACGAGCAGCAUAAAAAGGCCACGGUGUACGACACAGGCGCCGGGCAUGUGAACCCGGCGAGAGCUGCCGACCCUGGCUUGGUGUAUGACCUUGGCGCCAUUGACUAGGCCGGUUACAUCUGCUGGCUCCUUGGUGACAGCGGCCUAGCAACCAUCGUGCGCAACUCGAGCUUGACCUGCACGAAGCUGGCCAAGGUCCAGGAGGCGCAGCUUAACUACCCGACGAUAACGGUGCCGCUGGCAUCGACGACAGGGAUGCAUUUCACUGUGAACCGGAUUGUGACGAACGUGGGUCCAGCAGAUUCGACCUUCAAGGCCAAAGUGGACGUGCCGGGGUCUCUGACGGUGUGUGUCGUUCCGGAGACGCUGUCCUUUUCCAAAACCGGAGAGAAGAAGACCUUCAGUGUAAAAGAGAAGAAGGCCUCGGGCAAGGAAGAAGUGCAGUACGUGGAGGGAAGCUUGAGGUGGGUAUCGGAGAAGCAUGUCGUGCGGAGCCCCAUUGUCGCUGUCAUCACAGUUGGUGGUGGUGCUACUGCUCCAUCGCUAUCACCCUCACCAUGA
rnacentral:rRNA from 1 species